rnacentral:misc_RNA from 1 species
GAUGAAGAACGCAGCGAAAUGCGAUAAGUAGUGUGAAUUGCAGAAUUCAGUGAAUCAUCGAAUCUUUGAACGCACAUUGCGCCCUUUGGUAUUCCUUAGGGCAUGCCUGUUCGAGCGUCAUUUAAACCUUCAAGCUAAGCUUGGUGUUGGGUGACUGUCCGCUUCACUGCGGACUCGCCUCAAAAUUAUUGGCGGCCGGUACAUUGGCUUCGAGCGCAGCAGAAACGCGAACUCGGGCCCGUCGUAUUGGCUCCCAGAAGCUAUCUUCACAAUUUCGACCUCGGAUCAGGUAGGGAUACCCGCUGAACUUAAGCAUAUCAAUAAGCGGAGGA